CCCCGGUGGCGGAUCGGGGGAGGGACCGCGCGGUCCCCCCUCGGGGCCGGAGGCGGUGGCGGGCUCCCGUGCCGAGAGGUUCCUUGCAAGCGGCCGGUGCCCGAUAGCUCAUCUGCUUCCGACGGGACGAGAAGCGGCCGUUCUCCCCGAGAUCCCUUCGAGUCACCCUGGUGAUAACCCCCUGCCAGCCGAACCCGAACAAAAGCCGCGGUGCCCCUAGCCCCGGCGCUCCCCUUGGCCGAGCAACAGGCCGGGGCAGGCGGCGGAGUAGGGCUCGUCUCUUGACCGGGGAGAGGGGCAGCCCCGGCUCUGGAAGGAGACGCGGGACCGAGUCAGCGAGCGCCUUGUUUACCCUACAAUUGCUCUAACCCCCGAUCUUAAUCACAGGAUGAGAAACCAAAACAGUUUAAACCGUGA